UACGUACCGUACGAACGUUAUUCGGAAUUACUGGGCUUAAAGAGUCCGUAGGCGGCUUUAAAGGUGAGGUGUGAAAUCCCACGGCUUAACCGUGGAAUUGCGCUUCAAACCAUAAGGCUAGAGGGAGAUAGAGGAAAGCGGAACUGAUGGUGGAGCGGUGAAAUGCGUUGAUAUCAUCAGGAACACCGGUGGCGAAAGCGGCUUUCUGGGUCUCUUCUGACGCUGAGGGACGAAAGCUAGGGGAGCGAACGGG
rnacentral:rRNA from 1 species